ensembl:lncRNA
UUUUUUUUUUUUUUUUUGCUUAGCUUGUUUCUCAGUUUUUCCCCCUGUGUAGAGUUCUAUCAGAUCCAUGUAUUCCAAUUAUUUUCUUUUUCAGGAUUAUAUUUCACACAGUUGGGGGCCUUUUUUGUACAAAUGUUGGCAUUUAAUAAGGAAAAAUUGCCUAUGAUGCUGAGAUAAUACCAAUGUUUUUAGUGCUAGAAAAUAUUAUUUUUUAUAACCAUAUCUAAAUAUCUUGAGAUAAAAAUUCCCCUUUGACUUUUUUUCCUUUCCCUUGUUUGGCAAAUUCCAUUAUAAAAUUAUAAAUUGCUAAAAAGUGUCCUUUCCAUACUAGUUCUUCUUCCUUGUACUCAUCCUAAGAAGUCUUAAAUCUGGAACAUUUGCUUUUAUCUUAUCUAUCUGUUUCCUGGCUACUAGAAAGAAAUUUUUUUUUAGCACUGAUAUCACCCUACCAUGAAGUUCCAAAUGUAAGAUGACUGUAGGACUUGAAACAAAAAAAAUUAAAAAUAUCCACACUCAUUCUCUCAUUUUGAAGCAAAUGUCUUUCCCUAUUUCUAAAGAUAUUUGUGAUUGUUUAACUUAAAAGUCAGAACUGACAAUCUGAAAGCAUCUCCAUCCUUUUGAAACAGGUCCAGAUUGGUUUAUUUCCUAAAAUGUCACUUUGGAAAGUGGCCAUUUGAUGGGCCAGGAACAUAGCAAUAAACAACUACCUCUUUGCUCCUCCAGAUUAGAUCUCCCACUCCAAUCCAGCUUCUUCCUCUUUCCACAAAAUAAUUUGUCAACUAUUUUACAAUGUGACAUGUUUGGGAAGGAUAAACAUACAGUAGGAAUAUGUCUACUGCUAUGCAAACCUGGCUGGUCCAUUUUGUCAUGGACUACAAUGAUUAUAUCACCUCAUUAAGAAUUCUUUAGGGAUCCUCCACCCCCUCUCCCCCCCGCUUUUUUUAAAGAGACACUUCCUUUACAGGGAAAGGAUGAUAGUCUCCUCAGGGUUUCAAGUCACCUGCAGCUUUUUUCUCUACAUGUUCUACCAAAAGAAAAGGUGGAUUCUAACCCAAUUGCUUAGCAUUUUACAUGGCAAAUCAGCAUUAAGGCAAAUGGGUCUAUCUCAGAUUUGAGAAACAGAAAGCUACAUGUGGCCCAUAAUGGCACCUAAGAUCAACUUUUCAGGAGGUAUUAGUGAAAAUUCUUCCUACUUUGCUAAAUUUGAACAAAGACACUUUCAAGUCUACUACUGUUAAACAGUUAAACAUAUUUUAAAGUGGCUUUUGGCCUUCUUUCAUUUGUAACAUGUAUUGAGUGAUUUCAUGUCAUUAUCUUCUAGCUUUGAGUUUUUUUUCUUAAGGUCAAUCUUCUCUUUUUAUUUUAUGGGUGGAAUCACUUGUUUUCCAAAAUAUCAAAACAAUUCCAUGACAUAGUUAAUUAACUAAUGCUCCCUCUAUUGGUGGUAAGUGGAAAUAUUAGUUUUACAACACUGAUAUUUUAAAAAGCAAAAUUAGCAAUAGAAAAAUGAACUUACUUUAUUUUGGAAGCUGUUCCUUACUAACUGUUAAAACAGGUCAGUUUUGGACACACAGUUCUUGGUAGGACUCCUCUUAGAAAUCACAAUAGGUUAUACUCAAUAGUCAGUUAACCACCCAAAUGUACAUUAAAACUUCUAGCAAAAUAUCCACUGAAUUAAGCACUGUGGGACCAAAUCAAACUCACAAACACUUCAGUUACACUAACCUUACUAAGCAUCACAAAGAACUUAUGAAAAAGAUCCAAGUUAACCAAAUGUCUGAAAUAUAUGAAUAAAACCAAUUUAGUCAUUACAGAGUUGUUUGUGUUGGAAGAUUUUCCCUCGUUUGCUGCACAGUUUUUGUAAAUAAAAUGCUGACAGGAAAAUUAGAAGGAAAAUUAAAUUAAAAUGUAAUGUAAUUUUGAAACUAAAAUACUCUCUCCUUUCUUCUUUUUAAAACUGUAGUUUGGUGUUUUGCUUUGUUUAAAGAUUUGCUUUCCCCUAAGUGUGUUAAAAUAUGCCCAGCAAUGAAAUCACUUUGGGAGUUUUAGCUAGGUUUAAGAAAUCCUAAAUUUGAGCUGGAAUCCCUUCAGGACACUGUCUAUAAUGAAAAUAUCUCUAUUAUAAUACCUUGAUCAGGACCGAGGAGAGAAAUCCCAACUAGGAAGAGAGAGUGGCAUCUGGUAUGAUGCAAUAGAUUGGUGGUCUUUUGAGUGGUGGAUGUUGGCAUCUGGGAAUUUUUAAAUUUCCCUAAACCCUCUCUAAGAAGCAAGGGUUAAUUAGUCAUCUGAAGAAUGAUCAUCUUAUUUAGCCCUCUUAACCAUGGUGGAAAUAGUCAGAAGGUGAUAUUUGAAAGGAAAAAAGUAAUUUUGGCAUCAAUGCAUCUUGAACUGUAACAGGCUUCUCAUAAUGAUGCUCUUUGCUGUUGGGAAGGGUGAGGAGCUAUGGCAGAGUUUUGUGAACUCCUCUUCCUGGCUGAUCACAAAAGAAAAGAUCCCAUUUAUCAAGACUUCUAGACCACUAGUGUUUCACCAAGAAAAAAAGUAAAGUCAAUAGAAAUUCUAGAAUUGUAAGAUCUCAAUGAAAUUUUGGAGAAGCAAGCAAUCUCUGAAAGAUAAAGUCUCUUCCAUGAAAAAGAACAGAAUUCUAGAUGGAUCAGUUGAAAAAAAUUAUUCAGUGGGGCAACUUAAGCUUGCUAAAGUCAAAGAACUACAUAUCAAAAUACAAAGCAGCAAUUCAAAUUACAGCAGGGAUGGGCUGGCCACAGAGGCCCUCAUCAACCCAGGCAAUACUUAAAAUAAUAAAAAUUAAGAAAAAUUAAAAAAAAUAUGAAGAAAAUAUCCUUCCUCUCUUUCAAAUAUAACUAUAGUUGCCUUUUAUUCUUUCUAUCUGGAAGCAGUAUCGCUAACCUUAACAGUCUUGACUUACCAAAAAAAUAUAUAUAUGUGUGUGAAAUAAAAUAAAAGAGAAGGAAUUGGUGGCAGUGUAUGCAAAACCAAAAUGAAAAAAAAUUACUUUUAACAAUUUCACUUUUUUUGUUUUUUUUUUUACACAAAUACUGUUGUAAAUAUAUUAAAAAAAUCAGCAUUCUAUCUGGUAAACGUCACUUUUGCCCCUCUAUAAAAUUUUGAAUUAAAAAAGCCUCAAGAACUUUUUAUUGUUCCCCCCCACCCUCCAUUUCUCUUUCUUUUUCUCUUCCACAAGAAUAUAUCCUGACACUUUUUUUUUUUUUUGCAAAGAUUGUUGGAAAUAAUCCUUCUCUUGUACCUAGAAACAUAGGUGCACAUUUCUGAUAUCUUUGUUUUAUCCGCAUUCCUGCCUUUCAUGAAAGUCCCUCUUGAUUGUGCUGAGGCUGUGGCUCAGCGAAGACACUGAAUAAAUACGAUAGCCACUGUUGCUUGUUGGUUGUCCAAGUCUUCCUGGCUUCUGCUGCAAGAGAGGGAUAUGGAGAAGGUGGGCCAGGGUGUGUGGACCCGGGCAGAAUCUGGGGGAGAAGCCUGCCAUUCGUCUUUCUUUCCCACACCACCGAACCC